GGAGAGGUGGCCGAGUGGCUGAAGGCGCUCCCCUGCUAAGGGAGUAUACGUUUUAUAGCGUAUCGAGGGUUCGAAUCCCUCUCUCUCCGCCA
rnacentral:tRNA from 1 species